rnacentral:rRNA from 1 species
UACGAACUGUGCGAACGUUAUUCGGAAUCACUGGGCUUAAAGGGUGCGUAGGCGGCUUCUUAAGUAGGGUGUGAAAUGUCCCGGCUCAACCGGGGAAUGGCGCUCUAAACUGGGUGGCUUGAGUGAGAUAGAGGUGUGCGGAACUUCCGGUGGAGCGGUGAAAUGUGUUGAUAUCGGAGGGAACACCAUUGGCGAAAGCGGCACACUGGGUCUCAACUGACGCUGAGGCACGAAAGCCAGGGGAGCAAACGGG